GGCUCCUCGACGGGAUACUCGGCAGUGACUCAGAGACGAUGAGGAAGCCACGAUCGGCGGUCACCACGGCGGCAAGCCGAGCUUGGGCUUCGGAACGGCGCUGCAAGGUCGAGAAGAGUCGGCGGCUUGCCUAGGGUUAUAAUAGACGAUGCGCACACGUGGCUUGGGUUUUACGCAAUAUCCUGUAUGAUUUGGAAUUUGCAUCGACUUCCGUCGGCUUGGAGUCUGAGCAGAGCACGGCGGGAGAUAGAGGAAGGUGGCUGACAUGUGGGGUCCAGCGGCAGUGACUGAUGGAGCAGGGCCCAAGAGUCAGCAAGACAAAGAGAGAGGCAUGAACCUUCCACAGGUCCGCUUGGCCUCGUUCCCAGGAAAGAGGUUUCUUCUUUUCUUUUUAUUCUUUCUUUUUCUAUUUUAUUUUCUAAAGCUUUCUUUUGAAGAGGAUUUUGAAUGCAAUUAAAUUCUAGCCAAAGCAAAAUAGCACGAAAUAAAAUAUGCUCCAGCAUGAAUGCACAAUCAAGUUUACUAAACUUAUGAUGAAUUUUAAUUCCAACAAAAAUUUAUUUAUUUACUAUAUUUAAAUGCUCACAAAAAUACAUAAUUAAGUCCAAUUAAAUCCUAUUAAUUACAAAUCAAAUUUUGGGUGUUACAAACUCUACCCCCCUUAAAAGAAUCUCAUCCUCGAGAUUGAACAGUGCUUACUCGAACAGAUAUGAGUAGGAUUUCCUCAGAUCAUCCUCCCUUUCCCAAGUUGCCUCUGCUUCCGAAUGCCGGUUCCACUAUACUUUGCACAUUCUGAUGACCCGACUUCUGGUGACUCUCUCAGCUGUCUCCAAUAUUUUGACCGGAUACUCUUCAUAAGUGAGGUCACCUUUAACAGAAAGUUCUUCCAAUGGUAGUUGCUCCUCAGGUACACGCAAACACUUCUUAAGUUGAGACACAUGGAACACAUCAUGCACACCAGAUAAACUUUCAGGCAACUCUAACUGAUACGCUACUUCUCCACACCUUUGCAAAACUUUAAACGGGCCAACAUACCUUGGAGCUAGCUUUCCUUUCAUAUUAAACCUUUUCACACUCCGCAUA
rnacentral:lncRNA from 1 species